rnacentral:lncRNA from 1 species
GACUGAACUGAGCCCCUCAAAUAUAUUGUUUUCUUUGUAAUUAUAUCUAGUUGGGUGAAUUUCAAUCUAGUUGGGUGUUCUUUGUUCGCUUAACUGAACUUCGAUGUAAAAGAAUCAAGUGACCUCAAAGGCAUCUAGAACUCUUCUUAUACUCUAACCUACGUUUCAAUAAAAUUUGGACUCGUCUCCCCAUUUGUGAUAAUGUCCUCUAGUUUUGGUUGGAUUAUCAGGUUUUCUUGUUUUUUUUUCUGUCUUUACCAUUAUAGUAAAGAUACAUGUUGGGCAAAACAAUUCUUUGGCGACUCCACUGGGGAAGAACUUCCUUAAAAGUGGCUUACAUUGUCAAUGAAUCUAAGUUAGAUCAACCCAACAGUUUUAUAAAUCCAACAAUUAAAACAACGAGCAGGCGCAGUUCUUUAUAAAAAUGGAUGAAAGAUAACUAUUAUGCAAGAGCCACAUUCUCAAUGCAUUUGGUUGAUCUUAUAAACAACAUGCAGUGGUAACAAUAAGAGAACUUUGGAAACUUCUUGAAACAUGAUAUAUCACUGAGGAAUCUGGUAACAAGCGAUUUCUUAUUUCAAAUUAUUUGAACUUUAAAUUUAUUGAAAACUUGCCAAUUAUUACUCUCAAGUGUAUGAGUCGCAAGUUAUAAUCAGGGGACUCAAAGAUUGUGAAAUUUAAUUUGAUUAUCUUGACAAUUGGAUAUGUUUAUGUGGAAUAAGUGCAGAAAAAUAUACAAAAUCCUUCUUGUUUUUUGGCAUAUGCAAUAACACUUUCUCUAGACAAUAUUUGCCCUUUUGAUAUAUAAUAAACAAUGUGCAUAAAAAUAGAUGAAAUUGACCUCGAGAUAUAAGAAAAUAGAAGGUCUCAAUUCACUUAUUAGUUUCAUGCAACCAGAAGCUUACUUCGUAUAUUAGAAUUGCGUUAUAAUAGAGAGAGAAAGAGUAUUAGAAUUUUGAAAGAGAGAGGGAGAGAGGAGAUAUAUUAGUAAGGGGGAGAGAGAGAGGACUAAAAGGAGCAUAUAAAAUGGGAAAUUCAAACAUAUUUACCACCCUUUGGAUGUGACUAUUCAUUUGAACAAUAGUAUCUAUUCACUAUUGCAUAUGACUGUUAGAAACCCACCAUCCAAAGGCUAGAUCAGCCCAACAGUUUUAAUUGCUAGAACCCAUGGCCAACAGUUAGUUGAUCACAAGGGCCUCUGUACCAAUACGAGGAAGUGAAAUACAAAGUCCACCUCAAUUGCCAUUGGGCCAACGCAUGGGUACAAGUUGCAUGCUUCGUGUACUCAACACAUGCACUCACACUCUCUCAUUUGUUCCGUAAACUUAUGGUAUGAGAGUGUUACCAUAUAAAAAUCAUUCUAUCCACAUUCUUCUUCAUGAAUGUGAGACUAAAACUUAAAACCAUCUCUAUCUAUUUAUUAGAAACAUAGGAAAGUUUCAAAAUUAUAUUUUUAAAUACUCUGUAGUAUUUUCCAGAUGGUGCAGUUUUUAUAAGGUUGCAAUCUUAAACAAUCCAAUUAAAACGCACCUUAAAAAUUUAUCAUAACAUGUAAUUUUGUUGUAAAAAAUUCUUAGUAUUAUCUUAAAAUCUAUUUUCAUACCUAAUUAGAAAAUUUUAAAUCUAAAAAAUUGUUAAAAUAAAGUAGAUCUAUAAAUAUAUGAAAAUCUUGAAAAUGGACGGUCCAGAUAAUUGUUGCAAGAUGCACUAUUUCAGGGAUUCAAAAACUUUUUUUUUUUCGCAUUCAUACAGCUCGAUAUCGAAAUAAUCGACUAGAGUAUUUUUUCAACAUUAAAACAAUAUUUUCGAUAUAUUUUUGAGGUGCAUCUGUGAUUCUACAUUUUAAAGUUGCAACCUUAUAUAAACUUUUGCCUUUUCCAAAACCAAAAUACUAAUACUUUCAUUGCCUUAAACCUAGUAAAACCCUGGGGGAAGGUAUAGAAAGCUUCCCUUACAAACCCUAAAUAAUUCCUUUUGUCAUCAAUAUCUUCACUCUCUCACCAUGAGAAACUGAAGAAAUCCAAAACAUCUUGUCUAGUUAAAGGCAUGUCCUUUUAACCUCUUUUUUUUUUG